UCCCUGGUGGUCCAGUGGCUAAGACUCCACACUCCCAACGCAGGGGGCCCUGGUUCGAUCCCUGGUCAGGGAA
rnacentral:tRNA from 1 species